rnacentral:hammerhead_ribozyme from 1 species
AUUUUCCCGUCGAGUCCCUUACAAGUCCCAAAUAGGACGAAAUGCGCAUCGUGAAU